UUAAGCGACUAAGCGUACACGGUGGAUGCCCUGGCAGUCAGAGGCGAUGAAGGACGUGCUAAUCUGCGAUAAGCGUCGGUAAGGUGAUAUGAACCGUUAUAACCGGCGAUUUCCGAAUGGGGAAACCCAGUGUGAUCCGUCACACUAUCAUUAACUGAAUCCAUAGGUUAAUGAGGCGAACCGGGGGAACUGAAACAUCUAAGUACCCCGAGGAAAAGAAAUCAACCGAGAUUCCCCCAGUAGCGGCGAGCGAACGGGGAGGAGCCCAGAGCCUGAAUCAGUAUGUGUGUUAGUGGAAGCGUCUGGAAAGGCGUGCGAUACAGGGUGACAGCCCCGUACACAAAAAUGCACAUGCUGUGAGCUCGAUGAGUAGGGCGGGACACGUGGUAUCCUGUCUGAAUAUGGGGGGACCAUCCUCCAAGGCUAAAUACUCCUGACUGACCGAUAGUGAACCAGUACCGUGAGGGAAAGGCGAAAAGAACCCCGGCGAGGGGAGUGAAAAAGAACCUGAAACCGUGUACGUACAAGCAGUGGGAGCCUCUUUAAUGGGGUGACUGCGUACCUUUUGUAUAAUGGGUCAGCGACUUAUAUUCUGUAGCAAGGUUAACCGAAUAGGGGAGCCGAAGGGAAACCGAGUCUUAACUGGGCGUUAAGUUGCAGGGUAUAGACCCGAAACCCGGUGAUCUAGCCAUGGGCAGGUUGAAGGUUGGGUAACACUAACUGGAGGACCGAACCGACUAAUGUUGAAAAAUUAGCGGAUGACUUGUGGCUGGGGGUGAAAGGCCAAUCAAACCGGGAGAUAGCUGGUUCUCCCCGAAAGCUAUUUAGGUAGCGCCUCGUGAAUUCAUCUCCGGGGGUAGAGCACUGUUUCGGCAAGGGGGUCAUCCCGACUUACCAACCCGAUGCAAACUGCGAAUACCGGAGAAUGUUAUCACGGGAGACACACGGCGGGUGCUAACGUCCGUCGUGAAGAGGGAAACAACCCAGACCGCCAGCUAAGGUCCCAAAGUCAUGGUUAAGUGGGAAACGAUGUGGGAAGGCCCAGACAGCCAGGAUGUUGGCUUAGAAGCAGCCAUCAUUUAAAGAAAGCGUAAUAGCUCACUGGUCGAGUCGGCCUGCGCGGAAGAUGUAACGGGGCUAAACCAUGCACCGAAGCUGCGGCAGCGACACUAUGUGUUGUUGGGUAGGGGAGCGUUCUGUAAGCCGUUGAAGGUGUGCUGUGAGGCAUGCUGGAGGUAUCAGAAGUGCGAAUGCUGACAUAAGUAACGAUAAAGCGGGUGAAAAGCCCGCUCGCCGGAAGACCAAGGGUUCCUGUCCAACGUUAAUCGGGGCAGGGUGAGUCGACCCCUAAGGCGAGGCCGAAAGGCGUAGUCGAUGGGAAACAGGUUAAUAUUCCUGUACUUGGUGUUACUGCGAAGGGGGGACGGAGAAGGCUAUGUUGGCCGGGCGACGGUUGUCCCGGUUUAAGCGUGUAGGCUGAUUUUCCAGGCAAAUCCGGAGAAUCAAGGCUGAGGCGUGAUGACGAGGCACUACGGUGCUGAAGCAACAAAUGCCCUGCUUCCAGGAAAAGCCUCUAAGCAUCAGGUAACAUCAAAUCGUACCCCAAACCGACACAGGUGGUCAGGUAGAGAAUACCAAGGCGCUUGAGAGAACUCGGGUGAAGGAACUAGGCAAAAUGGUGCCGUAACUUCGGGAGAAGGCACGCUGAUGGUAGGUGAAGCGACUUGCUCGUGGAGCUGAAAUCAGUCGAAGAUACCAGCUGGCUGCAACUGUUUAUUAAAAACACAGCACUGUGCAAACACGAAAGUGGACGUAUACGGUGUGACGCCUGCCCGGUGCCGGAAGGUUAAUUGAUGGGGUCAGCCGCAAGGCGAAGCUCUUGAUCGAAGCCCCGGUAAACGGCGGCCGUAACUAUAACGGUCCUAAGGUAGCGAAAUUCCUUGUCGGGUAAGUUCCGACCUGCACGAAUGGCGUAAUGAUGGCCAGGCUGUCUCCACCCGAGACUCAGUGAAAUUGAACUCGCUGUGAAGAUGCAGUGUACCCGCGGCAAGACGGAAAGACCCCGUGAACCUUUACUAUAGCUUGACACUGAACAUUGAGCCUUGAUGUGUAGGAUAGGUGGGAGGCUUUGAAGUGUGGACGCCAGUCUGCAUGGAGCCGACCUUGAAAUACCACCCUUUAAUGUUUGAUGUUCUAACGUGGACCCGUGAACCGGGUUGCGGACAGUGUCUGGUGGGUAGUUUGACUGGGGCGGUCUCCUCCUAAAGAGUAACGGAGGAGCACGAAGGUUGGCUAAUCCUGGUCGGACAUCAGGAGGUUAGUGCAAUGGCAUAAGCCAGCUUGACUGCGAGCGUGACGGCGCGAGCAGGUGCGAAAGCAGGUCAUAGUGAUCCGGUGGUUCUGAAUGGAAGGGCCAUCGCUCAACGGAUAAAAGGUACUCCGGGGAUAACAGGCUGAUACCGCCCAAGAGUUCAUAUCGACGGCGGUGUUUGGCACCUCGAUGUCGGCUCAUCACAUCCUGGGGCUGAAGUAGGUCCCAAGGGUAUGGCUGUUCGCCAUUUAAAGUGGUACGCGAGCUGGGUUUAGAACGUCGUGAGACAGUUCGGUCCCUAUCUGCCGUGGGCGCUGGAGAACUGAGGGGGGCUGCUCCUAGUACGAGAGGACCGGAGUGGACGCAUCACUGGUGUUCGGGUUGUCAUGCCAAUGGCACUGCCCGGUAGCUAAAUGCGGAAGAGAUAAGUGCUGAAAGCAUCUAAGCACGAAACUUGCCCCGAGAUGAGUUCUCCCUGAGACUUUAAGUCUCCUGAAGGAACGUUGAAGACGACGACGUUGAUAGGCCGGGUGUGUAAGCGUAGCGAUGCGUUGAGCUAACCGGUACUAAUGAACCGUGAGGCUUAACCUU
rnacentral:rRNA from 1 species